rnacentral:rRNA from 1 species
UGGGGGAUAUUGCACAAUGGGGGAAACCCUGAUGCAGCGACGCCGCGUGAGUGAAGAAGUAUUUCGGUAUGUAAAGCUCUAUCAGCAGGGAAGAAAAUGACAGUACCUGACUAAGAAGCCCCGGCUAACUACGUGCCAGCAGCCGCGGUAAUACGUAGGGGGCAAGCGUUAUCCGGAUUUACUGGGUGUAAAGGGAGCGUAGACGGUUAUGUAAGUCUGGAGUGAAAGCCCGGGGCCCAACCCCGGGACUGCUUUGGAAACUGUGUAACUAGAGUACAGGAGGGGCAGGCGGAAUUCCUGGUGUAGCGGUGAAAUGCGUAGAUAUCAGGAGGAACACCGGCGGCGAAGGCGGCCUGCUGGACUGAAACUGACGUUGAGGCUCGAAAGCGUGGGGAGCAAACAGGAUUAGAUACCC